CCUACGGGGGGCUGCAGUGAGGAAUAUUGGUCAAUGGGCUUACGCCUGAACCAGCCAAGUCGCGUGAGGGAAGACUGCCCUAUGGGUUGUAAACCUCUUUUGUCAGGGAGUAACUGGCGCUACGUGUAGCGUUAUCGAGAGUACCUGAAGAAAAAGCAUCGGCAAACUCCGUGCCAGCAGCCGCGGUAAUCCGGAGGAUGCGAGCGUCAUCCGGAUUGAUUGGGUUUAAAGGGUGCGUAGGCGGAAUGCCAAGUCAGCGGUAAAAUCGCGGGGCUCAACCUCGCUCCGCCGUUGAAACUGGCGUUCUUGAGUGGGCGAGAAGUAUGCGGAAUGCGUGGUGUAGCGGUGAAAUGCAUAGAUAUCACGCAGAACUCCGAUUGCGAAGGCAGCAUACCGGCGCCCAACUGACGCUGAAGCACGAAAGCGUGGGUAUCGAACAGGAUUAGAUACCCCUGUAGUC
rnacentral:rRNA from 1 species